UACGAAGGGUGCAAGCGUUACUCGGAAUUACUGGGCGUAAAGCGUGCGUAGGCGGUUUGUUAAGUCCGUUGUGAAAGCCCCGGGCUUAACCCGGGAAUGGCAUUGAAUACUGCUGAUCUGGAGGAUCGGAGGGGGGACUGGAAUUCUUGGUGUAGCAGUGAAAUGCGUAGAUAUCAAGAGGAACACCAGUGGCGAAGGCGAGUCCCUGGACGAUACCUGACACUGAGGCACGAAAGCCAAGGGAGCAAACAGG
rnacentral:rRNA from 1 species